GUCUCUUUUGUGCUUUUAUCAUUUGCUGGAUUUCACUCCUCCAUUUCCAGUCACUCCGGCCCUAUACACAGUGUGAAUUAAAGGGAUAUGCCUUUAGGGGAAGAUCUUACCCAAUGUGCUUCAUUUCUCUCAAGGGUUAGAUCCCCUUAGUUUCUGCCUGCUUUGGUGGCUGUCCAGUGCCUUAAGGUGGGGCUUAUCAAGAGCUGGAGGGUCUGAACCAGAUUUAUGCAGAAUUUUAAAGGGACAGCUGUAGAGUUAAAGAAGAAGCUGACUGAAAAUGUGUAUCAAGGGCAAAGGCUUGGAGAUGACACUUUCUCCCAAGUGGUAUUCCAGUACAGAUUCCUUCUCUGAGCACUCCAACCAGACAUAAAGGAGUCUUAAUUCCCAAACCCAAGCAUGUCUGGAAAGAUUCUUCGUAUUGAAGUUACCUCCUCCAUGAGGGUCUCCUACCGGGAACAGGGAACCUUGAAGAAGUGAGCAUGGGGAAUGGUGGGUGCAAACAAGUGGGGCACAUUUGAUGAAAGACAGUUGGAAGGCAGGCAGGCCGGCAGGGACAAGCGCUCCCUCACUCAGAGGAAACCACCCUUAAAAGGAUUUUACACCACCUUGGAAAGAGCCCUCCACCCUUUCCCAGUGACAAAAAUCGGAGACAAAAACCUGAUUGGAUGACAGGUGCAGAAAGGGUUAAUCAGAUUAAAACAACCCACUAACAAGCCCAUAAACACCCCUAAACUUAGAAACUCCAGUGGCAACUGUCUCGGGUCCCCUCCCUCCUUGGGAGCUUUGUACUGUCCCUUUGCUAUCACUCAAUAAACCUUGCU